rnacentral:misc_RNA from 1 species
AAAAUGCACAGAAAAGGAAUAUUUCGUUCAGCAUACACUAUUUUGAUUUCAAUUGAAGCCGCAAAUGAAGAGCUCAUUACAGCAGUGAAUCAAGAACAAAACGCUACAAAACUUCGAUAUCAAAGUAUUAUUCCCGUCCUUCAAAGUGUAUCCUAGGGGCAGAUGAAAUUGACCACCAACAACUAGCUUGAUUUUCAAAUGUCAAGAAGCAGCCUGCGUGGG